rnacentral:rRNA from 1 species
UACGUAGGGGGCGAGCGUUGUCCGAAGUUACUGGGCGUAAAGCGUGCGCAGGCGGUGAUGUAAGACCGAUGUGAAAUCCCCGGGCUUAACCUGGGAACUGCAUUGGUGACUGCAUUGCUGGAGUAUGGCAGAGGGGGGUGGAAUUCCACGUGUAGCAGUGAAAUGCGUAGAGAUGUGGAGGAACACCGAUGGCGAAGGCAGCCCCCUGGGCCAAUACUGACGCUCAUGCACGAAAGCGUGGGGAGCAAACAGG